CCCUAUGGGGUGCAGCAGGACAUGGUUGAGAACCGAGCCAAGCCCGUAUUUUUUCUGACCACCCGAUUCAGCGGCGACUUCAACGGCCUCGGAGAUGGCAAUCCCCAGCGAACCAGGAUGGUUCGGGUCUUUUUCCAGGUAGGACUGGCCAAUUUUCGUAUGGGCCGACGGGCUUGGGCCGAUUUGCGCGCCAUAGGUUUGCAUGCUGAUGCGGCGGUAAGGCUUAGCCAGGUACGAGGAAUUGACCAUGUACACUUCCACGCUAAUGUCGAACAUCUGGCCGGCCAUGGCCAG
rnacentral:rRNA from 1 species